ACACAAUAUACCACUCCUUUAGCCCCCCACAAAAAAAAAAAUUAUCUUCAAUUUUUGACCCCCCAUUUUAAAGAAAAAACCCCUUUUUACAUCCAAAAUAAAAAUUUUACCAACAUUUUUGUGUGAUUUUUAACUUCAAAAUUAAGAAGAAAAAAAACACACUUUGUAUUUAUACCCCCCAUAAAAAAAUAAAAAAAAUUUUUUUUGUAAAGAGCACACCAAAACCUUAAUCCUGGGGUUUUUUUAUAAAACUCAUUUUUUCCCCUAAGGGGAGUAGUAUAGUACUUGAACGACUCCAGCGCCCCCCCCUCCAAAAAAAAAAAAUUUGACCCCCAAAAAAUUACCCUCAUUUCAAGUAAAAGAGCCCUAAAUUUUCAUAAAAAAAAAGCAAAAAAACAC
rnacentral:lncRNA from 1 species